GUCCACCCCACCUUCAAAUGGUUCAGCUGAAGUCAAAUUUAGUAGUGUCUAAGAAGGAUAAAAAAAAUUUUUUUUUUUUUUUUAAGAAGGAUAAAGGGAAGAAUGAUUGUGCCAAUUACUAGGGGCAAUAAACCAAAUAAUUACUGAAAAGAUUAUCACUUGAUAUUCUGAAUUAGCUUUUCAGUUGGACCAAUUAGCCAGAAAAGUUCUAGAUUUCUAUUUUAUUCCAUGAUCUAUGCACAACUCAGCACCAGAUGCCCUUUUACGCAAACCUGGACACAUCUUGAAGAGGUUCAUACCUAAACACCAUGCAACAUAUAACAAAGUCUGUGUGAAAUGUGCCUAUCAGUCCCAACCAGAGCCCUCAGGAUUGUGUGGAAAAAAUUCUGCAAUCAUCAACCUUCAGCCUACAUGGUCCUUAUGCAAACCCCUGGGGGGUGGGGUAGUUUCACAGGGUAGAACCUCACAGAAGCUUAGAACUUCCUCAUUUAUAUGGUUGCCCAAAUCUGGUAUGUCUUUAUUAAUCUGGCAGAAAAUGCUCACAUCCAUCAGAGAGUAAAACGAGUGAAAUACAAGAAAAUUCAUUUUAUAUGCUACCGGCAGAAUAUUCUGAGCCUGUAAAUAAUUUUAAAUUAUUUAUUUUCAAUGUUGUAUAUAUAUUUUAAAGGAAAUCCUAUUUCUUUUAGUCUUGGCUGCUCUUAAAGUGAAAUUCUUUAAAUUCAGAUAAACAUAUACAACCACACACUCAAUUGGGAAAACACAACAGAAAAUUACACAAAAUUCCAAACCAGAUUUUUUUUUUAAUGGCAAUUCAUUGCCUUAUCUUUAACAACCUGAGACAAUUAACUGUGUAAUUUUAACUUAAUGCAGUGGGAGCCUCGAUUUUAUCAAUAUGUAUAUACUUUGAAUCUCUUUACAUUUCACUUAAAAUUUUCUGCUCUAACAGCACAAAAAAAAGGAGGAAAAGGUCAUUUUUUCACACUAAACUGAGGCUCACACCUGGGGGUCAGCGUCUAGUUUCCAUUAAAUGCACUGGUGGAACUUUUAGCAUGCCUGAGAAGUAAGCUUGCGAAGGAUCAAUUCCUCAUUUUCAUUUCUCCUCAAGAUUCUACAUCAAAUAUUUUUUCCCAUUAGGUCCGGAGCAGUAUCUUAUGUGUUAUGGUCGGAUUGCAUUUGCUCCAAAUUUGCCAGCGAAAUCUGAUUUAACAACAAAAACUUAUCAAAAACUGAUAAAUCAAUAUUCCAAUCCAAACCAUACUGUUCACUUUUAAACAGUUCCCAACUAACAGAAAAUGAUGUGAAGUUUCGAUUUUAAUAUGAGAUGUUAAAAAUGAAGGAUAAAAAAAUCGGCUUUAAUACAUAUAUCAGGCCAUCUUAAAACACUUUAUGCAGUUCUUAGAUGCUUCAUUAAUCUGUGAAAAAGCUCCCCAAAUGACAGAAUGAAUGAACAAACGAAAGGAAGAGAGAAAGAGGGGGACACGCAGACAGAAACAUUAGGUUCCUCCUUCCUCGGCCCUAUGCUCUGCCAUUAUCCCCCAGAAACUCCUCACCAAAUGCACACCCAUUAAAAUGAACUUGGGCGGGGGGAUGGCGGGAAGAGAGUCAGAUUUCCUUUAGCAGUGAGCUGAUUGCUGAAGAAAAAUGAAUCAUUGCACACUCGAAUGAGAAAAUAUGAAAAAAGCCCUCUUCCACUAAUUGGGGCCCGUUUUAAGCAAUUCGUUAAGCCAUGGCCCUGCGCCACAGCUAUCAGGAGGUGGGGCACGGGUACAACCUGAAAGCACAGCGUGAAAAUGGAGCCUAAUGAUGCUCUCCAUCACCCCCAGACAGCCUGCCCAGGGCCCCUGCAGUUGGCCUGGAGGGGACACUGAGCCUCUCCUGAAAAGCCCCUCAGAGAAGAGGAGAAGAAAGCGCUGGCUGUUGAGAUCCAUGCCAGCUCAGCGGAGCACUGUGUGGCACUUACCAAUGACCUCCUGUGUCUCCCAGAGCCUGAAGGAGAGCUGCGUUUCCCACCCGAAUCCAGACUUUGAGGAUCCGGGCCUCCGGACCCAGUGUUCCCUGAAAUCCCCUCUAACUCAGUCCAUCUGGGAAGGGACCCUGCUGCAGGCCUCCUGCUUCCUCCUCCCCAAAGUUCCACUGCUGCCUUCAGGCUGGUCUCCGGCAAACCACUUGCCAAAUAUGCAAAAAAGGAGGGAAGAUAAGUUUUCUCGCAGGAAAACACAGACAGAAAAGGAGCCUGUGCUUCCUGCCCUAACCAAAGUGAGUUCAGAAAUUAUUUGGACGUCUGAUUUGUCAGGCUUGUGGUAGGAGAGUGUGCUCUUUUAGUCAACAGGAAUCGCUGAGUUCCCCAAAGUCAGAAAUGGCCAAGGGGAAAGGAAAUAAGACCAGGCCUGCAACAGCAAGGAAGACACCCCACCCCACACCUGGGACUUAGGGUCUUUACCAUUUUUAACAGUUUAUCACCAGGUGGUUGUCUGAAGACACCUUAGGCAUCCACUAUUUAUCACUAUAAAGCAAGGGGGGAAAAAGUUAGCUGAAACAGCCUGGCAGCUGCCUGCAGCUUAGGCCUCACUAGGUUCCUUUCCUUUCAGGUCUUCUCAGGAGUAACCACUAGGGAGAAUCUCCCAAACAGGACAGCCCCCGCCUCUCCAAUUAAACACUUUCUGCCGAGCUUCUUUCAUUUGCCAUUCUAUUUCACUGAUAAUACACAGCACUGCGCUGUUAAUGUCUCCUCAUGUCUUAAAGAUAAAAAAAAAAAAAAAGAUAAGCAUUAGAAUAUCAGCAAACAUGAAAAAAAAAAAAAGUCAAAUGCUAUUAAAGCAACGGCACCAAAAAUCUAAAGAGGGAACAUUCGUUACAAGAGAACCAGAGGUGUAAAGUAAUUCAUUAAAUUGCGAAGAAAUACGAUAAAGCUGUCGAUCUCCAGGAAGAAACCAGUCUGAGUAUUUAGUCAACACCCCAAUAAAAACUGUUUCAUUGCUGCUGCUAUAGCCUGGUUUGGGGUGGCCUAAGUCCCUGACAAAACCCUUUCCUAUCUCACGCCUCAUCUGAAUUGUAAAUGUGUGUGUGUGUGUGAAAUGCUGAUAUUCUGAAACUCAACAUUUCUAAGACCUAGAUCAAAAAUUUACAUGUGCCUUUUUUGAGCAAAAUAAUGAUCUGUUUCGACAUGUGAAACUGCUUGAUAAAUGUCUCUCUUAUAAGCCUCAAAGGAGGGGUCACCUGUUGCUUUUACAUCUUGGGUUUUUUUUUAACCCCAUAAAAUAAAAUAAUACAGUACAGGUACGAAAAAAACCAAAAAAACACCUCUGAAAAGAGGUCUCUGCAAAUACGAACGAAUGGAUUCCGGGCAGGGAGUGAUGUGAACAGUCAGGGGCCGGAGGUGCAGCACCUGUCUAUACUAGGAUCAGGAGUCAGAAAGCCCGUAAAGAUUUCUCAGAAAUGGGCGAGCACCAGGCAGCAGAGAACCCAGAAGGGUGUCUGGUUUGCUCUCUGUGAGCUGCAGCCACUCAGGAAUCUCCUCCAGAAUAAGGCAACAAAAAUCUGUACUUUUUUCACACUAUAAUCAUUUAACAAUCACAAAGAUUCCAGAAGGAAAAAAAAAAAAAAGUCACUAUGUGGUGCCAUCCUUGACAAAUUAUGAGUUAACUGCAGUUCCAUCACACGAACGUGCAAUGUUGGACAGACAUCCAAAAUACACACAUCAUUUAUGCCUCAAUUCUCCAUCAUCAACGGGAAAAUCCAUCUUGUUUCAGUAAAAAUUAAAAAAAAAAAAGCUUUGUUAUUUAGGUCAGAUCUAUUUGCUGUUAAAACCCUUUUCCACCCCUCCCCAUGCCUUCUUACUCCAGCCUGUGUGUAUACUCUUGGUGUUCACGUGCACAUAUAAUUUACUUAUUCACUUCCUGCAUCUAUGAAUGCACACAUAAUUUGGAAAUACAUAUCAUCCCAGCUUUCUUGAAAUAUAUAUGUAUAUAUAUUGAGAUUAGAUACAUACACACAUAUAUAAUGAGGGGGAGGAUGCGUUUCACAUCAUGGCAUGUAGUAGGCAGCCAUACAUAAACAGCCACAGAUAUACACUUACAUAUGCAUGUAAAUGUAUGCCAUAUCCAUAUUUUGUAUUCUCUCAAAUUUCAAAAGCUUUAACAUUUAUAUUAACAAUGUGCUACUGCAUUAACCAAUGGUGAAGCACACAAAUCCAAAUCAACAACAACAAAAAUUUUUCCCCAAACAAACCAACCUCCGAUCUCAAACUCUAAACAACUAGUCAAGUAGGGAAGAUGCAGAGACUGGCAGCAGGGCUGGGUAUUAGGCCUCUGAGCCAAAAAAGGCAUCAUGAUCUUAAUUGUUCAACAAGUCAUAUGCUGCAAGGAUAGCCACAGUUUGCCUUCUGUUCAAAAGACUGUGUAUAAACUUCCCAAAAAGGUCCAACAUAGCACAUCCACACUUAUUUCCCAGCCUGGUGAUACCAUGAUGGUGGGAUAUGGUUGCCAAGAUGCUCCUGAGUUUUUAAGUAUGUGUUGUUUUCAAGGCAGCAGCCCUUUCAUUUAAACACUGUUGUGUUAAACAAACAUGCAUGGGGGAGUUUCUAAAACUCCUGCCUUCAACUAUCAUUCUGGAGAAAAAGGGGAAGGAAAUAUGACCAUUUAACUCAAUAUAAUGUUUGGUCAUAAGCUCUCACAGACUGCAAAAGACCUGGAGGCACACCGUCUUCCAUGGAAAAGAGGAAUGUUCACCUACAUUCACUUGAAAUUUUGAAAUGAGACAUUGUAUCAAACCAGAAUUACAUAUGAUUUUAAAAUGUGACAUCAUUAGCUAUAUCUGAAAAGCAAUACUGCGUCCAAUAUUAUUUCGUGUCCAAUAUUAUGUUCUGUGUAUUAUACAAUGCCAAUACAAGCAGGUGGAUCUUUCUGUCCCUGGGACUUUUUAAAGUCACUGUUAUGAGUCGGCAUCAACUCAAUGGCAACUGGUUUGCUUUUUUUUUUUUUUAAUUUUAAAGUCACUGGGAAUAUUUGUCAGUGGUAUUGUUUAAAUUUUAAACCACACACCAGAACAAUCUGAUUUGUCACCGAAACAUGUCUGACACUUUCUAACAUAAACAUUCAGUUUCAUAUUUAAAUGUUACUUUUUAAAAUCCCAAAUGAAAAAAGAUGAGUACAACUGAUCCAAGCAUUAGCACUGUCUUCAAACAAAGAAAUAACUCAAGAGGCCGAGGACCUUUUCCUGCAGGCUUCCCUCUCCCUCUGUUCCUAAACAAAGUGAAUGAAUCCAUAAACUCAUUUCAGUUUUUGUGAAAGUUUAAAUAUUAGACAUAUUAGAUAUUUUCUUCUCCUACGAGUUUUCCUCUUUUAAAAGAAGUGAAUUCGACUAGCAAAGAGAUAUUAUUUCUUCACCACAUUUUGUUGCUGUAAGUUUAAAACAAGGCUUAGACCAUGAAAAGGUACCUCAGAGUUGAAAUACACUAUCUGCAGCAGGGUGGGAAAACCCAGCAAAGCGUCUACAUUGAAAUUCACUCUUAAUUGGAGGCUCCAGCUCCAAAAGAGAAUGGAAAUUACAUUUGAAAGCCCUGCCUGAUCAUACCCUAUGGAAACAUUAUCUCCCCCAAAACAGAAGAAAAAACAGUCACUCCCAUAUGAGAUGCCUUAGAAAUCAUCAGUGACGCUUGACAAAUUUUUAAAACACAAUCACAACUAACAAGGGUCCUUAUUAGGAGGGUUUUCGUGAGAUGGCAAAUGUUCUAACUUUUCAAAACCUGGAUAACUCUCAUUUAGUAGAAGGCAAGUUAAGACUCGAUCCAAUUCUUGUACAGUCAAAAAGCUCUCACCCUCAAAAAUAAGAAACGCUCUUGACUUCUCUGAUGUCACUAUGUAAGUAUAUAUAUAUUUAAACAUGACUUGGAACUAGAACAUCCUCUUCGAGGCAACCGCGGGGUCUGCUCAGAAGUGUUCCCACCGCCAGCCUGGCCCCGCACCCCUGAUGUCACAGUCCAAAGCGGUGCAGGAUCAGACCAAGUGAGCGCUCUCACUGUCCUCAGAAAAGAUAGGGCGGACCUUAGAGAAACCUGGGUGUCAAAAUCCUACCGGCUAGUCUUUUCUUUCUUUCCUUCUCUCUUUUUAAUCCACCAACUACCCAAGUUUUCCUUCUGAAAUUCAAUUUGGAAAAACUCACGUGGAUUUUUGCGUCGGAUUUUGGAGGUCAAAAUUGAUCCUCGGGUGUUCAGAGGAACUUUGGAGCCGGGGGUCCCUCUGCCCUGCCGGGCUCGUCCUCCUCGCCCGCCUCGCCGCGGCCGGGCGUCCCGUCCGGGCUCGGGUCCGCUCCGCGGGGACUGAGGGGCCGACGCCACUGUCGCCGAAGCGCGCUAGCCGCCCCUGGGCGCGGGCAGCGCGGGCAACGCAGACAGCGCGGGCACUUGUUAGAAUGCCCUGCUCCCUUCGCCCUGGUGCUUGUCCCAGCUUUCUUUCACAAUGACUUCCUGAAGUUGCUCACUCGCAUUGUUCCCCAUUUCUCCUGCACACUCCCCCGCCCCCCGCCGGCUACGAACUGGACUUUCGCGCACUCGACCAGGGUGGUCCCGACCGCGCGGCAGUGGCCGCGGGGCUCCGCACCUGGGCAGCGUGCGCUGUGCAGGACCCCCGUAUCGCCGUGGACCGGGGCAGAGGACCCGCCCCCGCCCAAGGGUCGCCUGACCGCCACCUGCCUACGCGGUACUAUUGGAGAUACCGAUGGCCGCAAAGAAGCAUACAAUAUGGUCUUGACUCUUAGGGGCUCACAGUCUAGUGAAGUAGACAGACAACUAAAUAAUUGAAUUUGGGUUGUGACAAAUUCAGAUGCAAAGCCUUACGGAACACAGAGGAAGGAGCCAUAAGUAGGCCCCAGUUGCUAGAGCUGGAGAAACGCUUUCUGGACGCAAGAAGAGAGGCUUGCUGGGAUCUUGAGCAGAGACAAGAAUAUAAAAAGAGGUGUGUAGAAAUGCUUUUCUUCUCCACAUCUGGGGGUGGGGGCAGGCCCUUAAAAAGAUGUCUCCCCUAAGAGAAAAUUAACUAAGUCUACUAGUAAUAUUAUAUGCAUUACUCCUUAUUGAGCCCAUCUCUGGGAGGAUUGUCUCCAGGCUAACAGUGCAGCUCAUGGAAGCAGCAGUCAAGAAAUCAAAAGACAUAUUGCAUUGGACAAAUAACAACCAUCAACGCCCAUGGAAGCGUCAGUCAAGAACUCAAAUGAAGUAUCACACUUGGCAAAUCUACUGCAAAAGACCUCUUUAAAAUCUUAAGAAGCAAAGCUGUCACUCUGAUGAUUAAGGUGCACCUGACCCAAACCAUGGUAUUUUCAAUCACCUCAUUUACAUGUGAAAGCUGGACAAUGAAAAAGGAAGACUGAAGAAGAAUUGACACAUUUGAACCAUGGUGUUGGCAAAGAUAUUGAAUACACCAUGGACUGCCAAAAGAAAGAAUAAAGCUUUCUUGGAAGAAGUACAGCCAGAAUGCUCCUUAGAACCAAGGAUGGCGAGACUUCAUCUCACUUACAUUGGACGUGUUAUCAGGAGAGACCAAUCCCUGAAGGACAUCAUGGUUGGUAAAGUAGAGGGUCAGGGAAAAAGAGGACUCUCAAUAAGAUGAACUGACACAGUGCCGGCAGUAGUGGCCUCAAACAUAGCAAUGAUUGUGAGGACGGCACAGGACCAGGUAGUGUUUUGUUCUCUUAGACACACAGUCUCGAUGAAUUAGAGCCAACUUGAUGACAUGGCACCUAACAACGAACAAUGCAGUGAGGCUGGCAUUGCUAUCCUAAUUUUACUAGAGGAUGCUGAAGCUAAGAAAGAGCCACUUUCGUUGCCUGGGAUUGAUGAAAGGCUGAGAGUCUGAUGGGUCAAAAUAUUUUAUGUCCAGUCUUCAAAGGAAACGAGAUAGCUUUAGGGGAGGAAGGAAAUGAACCAUAGGAAAGUCCUACAAAUCUUGGGGUCACUGUACUAACUUGAUCAAGAGACUUAACAUCUUUGAACAUCAGAUUCGCGUUUCUACAGCAGGAAAAAUGAAUUCUGCCUCGUGAAAAUUGUUGUAAGGAUUAAAUGAGGGCAUAAAUAUCAUUCUUCAAAGGUGAUGUCAUGGAUUAAAUUGUGUCCCCCCAAAUAUAUGUGUCAACUUGGUUAGGCCAUGAUCCCCAGUAUUGAGUGGUUGUCCUCCAUUUUGUGAUUGUAGUUUGAUGUUAAGAGGAUUAGGGUGGGAUUGUUACACCACCCUUACUCAGGUCACCUCCCUGCUUCAGUGUGGAGGGAGUUUCCCUGGGGUGUGGCCUAUGCCACCUUUUAUCUCUUAAGAGAUAAAGGAAAGAGAAGCAAGCAGAGAGUUGGGGACCUCAUACCACCAAGAAAGCAGCACUGGGAGCAGAGCAUGUCCUUUGGACCUGGGGUUCCUGUGUCUGAAAAGCUCCUCGACUGGGGAAAGAUUGAGGACAAGGACCUUCCUCCAGAGCCAACAGAAAGAGAAAGCCUUCCCCUGGAGCUGAUACCUUGAAUUUGGACUUUUAGCCUACUUUGCUGUGAGAAAAUAAAUUUCUCUUUGUUAAAGCCAUCCACUUGUGGUAUUUCUGUUAUGGCAGCACUAGAUGACUAAGACAGGUGGUAUCUGGUAACUCAAUGGCAGUUUUCUUCAUCUUCCCUUUCCCUUGCUUAGAGAUGCCUAUAAGGAUUUUUGGAAGGCAUUGCCUAGCAGAGAGCGAUGAAGAAGAAGAAGGCAGAGCACCUUAAAAGCGUCCUCAGAUUCUGAGUCGGGAAUAAUUUUGACUAAGAUGCAAGAGAAUCAUUUUUUUUUUUUUCUGAGAAGAGUAGUGAAGAAACAUCUCAAUGUGGCUGGAGCAAAGCACGGCUGGUCUCAGGAGUAAUAAACCAGCAUUUAUCCAGCAGUUUAAAGUUUACAAAUGCACCCACAAACUUUUCCUUUGAACCUGAGACUAAGAAGCAAGGUAAAUAUUCAGGACACCGCGUGUGCCCGGUUUUCUCCCAUGGCCUUGGCCUCCCUUCGUAGUCUCCUUCCAA